GUGGAUUAGAUACCCUGGUAGUCCACGCUGUAAACGAUGAGAGCUAGUUGUCGGCACGCAUGCGUGUCGGUGACGCAGCUAACGCAUUAAGCUCUCCGCCUGGGGAGUACGGCCGCAAGGUUAAAACUCAAAGAAAUUGACGGGGGCCCGCACAAGCGGUGGAGCAUGUGGUUUAAUUCGAAGCAACGCGCAGAACCUUACCCACGUUUGACAUGUCUAGUUUGGUCGUCAGAGAUGACUUCCUUCAGUUCGGCUGGCUAGAACACAGGUGCUGCAUGGUCGUCGUCAGCU
rnacentral:rRNA from 1 species